rnacentral:rRNA from 1 species
UACGGAGGGUGCAAGCGUUGUUCGGAAUCAUUGGGCGUAAAGCGCGUGUAGGCGGUUAUCUAAGUCUGAUGUGAAAGCCCGGGGCUUAACCCCGGAAGUGCAUUGGAUACUGGAUAACUAGAGGGCGAGAGAGGGAAGUGGAAUUCCUGGUGUAGGGGUGAAAUCCGUAGAUAUCAGGAGGAACAUCGGAGGCGAAGGCGGCUUCCUGGCUCGUUUCUGACGCUGAGACGCGAAAGCGUGGGUAGCAAACAGG